UGGGGUCAACUUUGGUACGGAAGCAGAUCGAAAAAUAGCUACUUUGUUAUUUGUCGUUGCUCUAAAAAGUCAACGGCAACUAAGCAUGCUUCAAGAAUUAGCUUUUUUCUGUUCAGAUCUCGAAAACAUUCAGCGGCUCAGUGAUUGUCGAACAAUAGAUGAAGCGCAAAAAAUUCUGGCUCAAGCCUAAAGUUACGUCUGAAAAAAAUUGGUAGUAAAAAAUCAAUUCAUUCUGAAAUGUUCAAUAAUUAUUGAAAUAAUUUUAUAAUAAAAAUUAAAAUAUUUUUAUUUAAGAGGUUAAACAAAAAAGAUAAGAAGAUUCCUUGACAAAAAAUAGGCCCUAUGAUAAAUUUAAAGUAACUUGUGACAAAGUCGUGCAUGGAUGCACUAAAAAGACACCCUAUUGUGGUAGGGUGUCUUUUUUUGC
rnacentral:ncRNA from 1 species